rnacentral:rRNA from 1 species
UACGUAGGGUGCGAGCGUUAAUCGGAAUUACUGGGCGUAAAGUGUGCGCAGGCGGCCGCGCAAGUCGGGUGUGAAAGCCCCGGGCUUAACUUGGGAAUUGCGCUCGAAACUACGUGGCUGGAGUGUGGCAGAGGAAGGUGGAAUUCCAGGUGUAGCGGUGAAAUGCGUAGAGAUCUGGAGGAACACCGAUGGCGAAGGCAGCCUUCUGGGCCAACACUGACGCUCAUGCACGAAAGCGUGGGGAGCAAACAGG